CGGCCGCCUGGCCGCGGGAUAGAGUUUGAUCCUGGCUGAAACAGGUGCUGCAUGGCUGUCGUCAGCUCGUGUCGUGAGAUGUUGGGUUAAGUCCCGCAACGAGCGCAACCCUCGCCUUUAGUUGCCAUCAUUUAGUUGGGCACUCUAGAGGGACUGCCGGUGAUAAGCCGGAGGAAGGUGGGGAUGACGUCAAGUCCUCAUGGCCCUUACGGGUAGGGCUACACACGUGCUACAAUGGUGGUGACAGUGGGCAGCGACACAGUGAUGUGAUGCUAAUCUCAAAAAGCCAUCUCAGUUCAGAUUGUACUCUGCAACUCGAGUACAUGAAGUUGGAAUCGCUAGUAAUCGUAGAACAGCAUGCUACGGUGAAUACGUUCCCGGGCCUUGUACACACCGCCCGUCACACCAUGGGAGUUGGUUUUACCUGAAGACGGUGUUCUAACCCGCAAGGGAGGAAGCCGGCCACGGUAAGGUCAGCGACUGGGGUGAAGUCGUAACAAGGUACC
rnacentral:rRNA from 1 species